rnacentral:rRNA from 1 species
GAUGAACGCUAGCGGGAGGCCUAACACAUGCAAGCCGAGCGGUAUUGUUUCUUCGGAAAUGAGAGAGCGGCGUACGGGUGCGUAACACGUGUGCAACCUGCCUUUAUCUGGGGGAUAGCCUUUCGAAAGGAAGAUUAAUACUCCAUAAUAUAUUGAACGGCAUCGUUUAAUAUUGAAAGCUCCGGCGGAUAGGGAUGGGCACGCGCAAGAUUAGCUAGUUGGUGAGGUAACGGCUCACCAAGGCGAUGAUCUUUAGGGGGCCUGAGAGGGUGAUCCCCCACACUGGUACUGAGACACGGACCAGACUCCUACGGGAGGCAGCAGUGAGGAAUAUUGGUCAAUGGGUGCAAGCCUGAACCAGCCAUCCCGCGUGAAGGACGACUGCCCUAUGGGUUGUAAACUUCUUUUGUAUAGGGAUAAACCUACCCUCGUGAGGGUAGCUGAAGGUACUAUACGAAUAAGCACCGGCUAACUCCGUG